GAUUAGUGGCGAACGGGUGAGUAACGCGUGAGUAACCUGCCUUACACAAGGGGAUAGCCUCUGGAAACGGAGAAUAAUACCCUAUGAAACUAUCUUAUCGCAUGAAAAGAUAGUCAAAGUGUUUUAGCGGUGUAAGAUGGACUUGCGUCUGAUUAGCUAGUUGGUGAGAUAACAGCCCACCAAGGCAACGAUCAGUAGCCGGCUUGAGAGAGUGUACGGCCACAUUGGGACUGAGACACGGCCCAGACUCC
rnacentral:rRNA from 1 species